CACGUGUGGGGCCAGCCCGCUGGCUCCCCCUCACGGCGGAGAAGGAAGCAGAGUAAAUGGCCCCACAGGCACAGGGCCGAGAAACAGACCACGCCAAAGGAAAUGUAGGUGUGGGACCCUGGAGUGCUGAAAGGAACACUUGGUAAGGGAAGCUCAGUGAGAACGGCAGGGUACCAAAGUCAAGAGUCUUCUGCCUGCCCUGAGCAGAAAGAAGACCAUCAUGGUGGCUGUGUUAAAAAUAGUAACUGGAAGGAAUCCCAACAAAAUACAGUUGUUGGGCAAGGACACAACAAAAACUGCAGCAAAUUGCAACAUAUAAGAAUGGAGUUAAGUCCCAGCACCUGGCAGGUACUGAGUAAAGUACACAGUGUAUUUUCUUAAUCCUUAAACUUGUGAUGAAGGCCAGGAGAAAUGUGGAGGGUGACAUUUGGCGGGAAGAAGUGAACUACACAACUCAGACCUGCUGUGCCAGUAUACCCCUUCUCUUAAUGAAAACAGAAAAGAAGAAAGGAAGACUGGAGAUGUAGCUUAGUUGCAGAGUGCUUGCUUGCAUGCUGAAGACCCUGGUUUGAUCCUCAGCACUGAAAAAAAAAAAAAUGAAGAUAACCAAAAUGCAAUGAAAAAAGAAAAGA